rnacentral:lncRNA from 13 species
AGAACACAGUCCUGUCUGCAAAGGUGACAGUGCCUGUUCUAGCUCCUGUGGUUUUCCUAGGGAGCAUAUUUAAGAACUGAUCAGACUGAGGGCAGACAGUACAAUGAUGAGAUGGCUGCCAAAUGCCACUUACGGUCCUCAAAAAUAGGUAAUCAUAAGAGUUUUGAAGCGUUGCACGUCAAGAAUUGGUGAGGCUGUCAAUCUGAACACUGACACGUUACUCAUGUGUGAGUGAGAGAGCAAGGUGAACCUGAGUUAGAAGUCAGACUAUGUCUUUUCUAUUCAAAU